AUUAACGCUAGCGGCAGGCAUAAUACAUGCAAGUUGAACGGCAGCACAGGUAGCAAUACCGGGUGGCGAGUGGCGCACGGGUGCGUAACACGUAUGCAUCCUACCCUAUACAGGCGAAUAACCUUUAGAAAUGAGGGCUAAUACGCCGUGGUAUUAUCUUGGGGCAUCUUGAGAUAAUUAAAGAUUUAUCGGUAUAGGAUGGGCAUGCGUCCCAUUAGUUAGUUGGUAGGGUAACGGCCUACCAAGGCGAUGAUGGGUAGGGG
rnacentral:rRNA from 1 species